rnacentral:rRNA from 1 species
CAGGUAGGAAUACCCGCUGAACUUAAGCAUAUCAAUAAGCGGAGGAAAAGAAACCAACAGGGAUUGCCUUAGUAGCGGCGAGUGAAGCGGCAAUAGCUCAAAUUUGAAAUCUGGCGUCUUCGGCGUCCGAGUUGUAAUUUGAAGAAGGUAUCUUUGGAGCUGGCUCUUGUCUAUGUUCCUUGGAACAGGACGUCACAGAGGGUGAGAAUCCCGUGCGAUGAGGUGUCCAGCUUCGUGUAAAGUUCCUUCGACGAGUCGAGUUGUUUGGGAAUGCAGCUCUAAGUGGGUGGUAAAUUCCAUCUAAAGCUAAAUAUUGGCGAGAGACCGAUAGCGAACAAGUACUGUGAAGGAAAGAUGAAAAGAACUUUGAAAAGAGAGUGAAAAAGUACGUGAAAUUGUUGAAAGGGAAGGGCUUGAGGUCAGACUUGGUUUACCAGGCCAGCAUCAGUUUGGAUGGCGGGAUAAUAGCGAUGGAAUGUGGCUCGGCUUCGGUUGAGUGUUAUAGCCUUCGUUGAUACCGCCUGUCUAGACUGAG